UACAGAGGUCCCGAGCGUUGUUCGGAUUCAUUGGGCGUAAAGGGUGCGUAGGCGGCGGGGAAAGUCUGAUGUGAAAUCCUGGGGCUCAACCCUGGAACUGCAUUGGAUACUUCCUUGCUAGAGUACUGGAGAGGAGACUGGAAUUUACGGUGUAGCAGUGAAAUGCGUAGAUAUCGUAAGGAAGACCAGUGGCGAAGGCGGGUCUCUGGACAGUUCCUUACGUGAGGCACGAAGGCCCAGGGGGGAGCAAAACGGGG
rnacentral:rRNA from 1 species